rfam:Dokdonia sp. 4H-3-7-5 chromosome, complete genome.
AUAUUUGUGCCGAAUUUUGGUUCUGAUGUGCUACACGAGCACGGAGGAUUAAUAGGGAAUUCCGUUAAAAACGGAAGCUGUUCCCGCAACUGUAAGCUAAGCCCUUUAGGGGUUUGUUACUACUACAAAGCCACUGUCGCAAGGUGUUGUGAUGGGAAGGUGUAACAAAAGCAAGCCAGGAGACCUGCCACAAUUCUUAAUUAAAA